rnacentral:rRNA from 1 species
AACGAACGCUGGCGGCAUGCCUAACGCAUGCAAGUCGAACGAGACCUUCGGGUCUAGUGGCGCACGGGUGCGUAACGCGUGGGAACCUGCCCUUAGGUUCGGAAUAACUCCCCGAAAGGGGUGCUAAUACCGGAUAAUGUCUUCGGACCAAAGAUUUAUCGCCUUUGGAUGGGCCCGCGUUGGAUUAGCUAGUUGGUAGGGUAAAAGCCUACCAAGGCGACGAUCCAUAGCUGGUCUGAGAGGAUGAUCAGCCACACUGGGACUGAGACACGGCCCAGACUCCUACGGGAGGCAGCAGUGGGGAAUAUUGGACAAUGGGCGAAAGCCUGAUCCAGCAAUGCCGCGUGAGUGAUGAAGGCCUUAGGGUUGUAAAGCUCUUUUAACCGGGAUGAUAAUGACAGUACCGGGAGAAUAAGCUCCGGCUAACUCCGUG